rnacentral:lncRNA from 1 species
CUUUUUCCUUGGAUUUAGACACUACCCUUACCAGAGAGGGAGAUUAUCACAGAUUCUACUUACAGGUGGGCAAGAUCUAUGCUAUGGGAGGAGUCAAGUCUGCUAGCUGUUGAGAUGCUUCGUGGGGCUCACAAGAUUGCUCCUGAAUGUCUGACACAAGCUGAUACUGACUCAUCUAUCAAAUGUCACAACUUGUUUAAAAACACAUCAUAAUAUGUGUCAAUCAGUUCAACUCCCAUUUCUUCCUCUUGCUGAUCUCCAAUCAUCUUUAAGGUCAGUUUCCUGGUUGAAAGGAUGAACAGCUUCCUGGCUCAGUCGUUCACACUCUCAUCUGGAAACACGUAGAAAUGUCAUUAAAGGAACUUGGUUAUGUAAGAAGGUACUGUGAGGCCUAGUUAUUCUGGGAAGCAGAGAAGGCAUAUCUCAUCAGUGCUCUCUGGAGGAUGAAAGAAGAUCAUGCAUAUGAGCCAUCCAGGGCAGGACAAAAGAAGUACAUAGUAGAUGCACCUGUGGAGCAGUAGUUGCAGGCAAGUUGUUACUGAUUAUGAUAUUGUCAUCAUAAUUAAAGAAUGUUGAUGAAGUCAGGAUGAAAAACUGGGGACAUAUGUGCUCAGUCAUUAGCUAGCUGUGUAUCUGCCAUUUGUGGAUUACAGUUUACUGUCUAUAAAAUCAGAGUGUUGAGAAAGAGGCAAUCUAUUCCCAAAUACUGUACAUCAUAUUUUUAAAAAUACAGAUUCCAGGACAAUAUCCCAUUCUUUCUAUUUUUUAUUCUUUGUUUUGUUUAUUGGUGUUUUCUGUGUUUUGUUUUAUUUUGUUUUGGAGACUCAUUCUAUCACCCAGAUUGGAGAGCUGCAAUGUAAUCAUAGUUCACCGCAGCCUCGAACUCCUGAGCUCAAGAAAUCCUCCUGCCUCAGCCUCCCAAGUAAUUGGAACUACAGACAUGCACCACCAUGCCAGGCUAAUUUUUUUUUUGUAGAGAUGGAGUCUUGCUAUGUUGCCCAAACUGGUCUCAAACUCCUGGCCUUAAGUGAUCUUCCUGCCUCAGACUCUCUAAGUGCUGAGGUUACCACACCUGGCACCCACCCUUCUAAAUAAGAACUGUGACGAGUAAGAAUCUUAGUAUCUGUAUGUUUUUAAAGAUCCUCAGGUGUUUUGACUUGGACACCAGUCAAUAAAAAAGAGUUUAGGCCCUGUUGGAUUAUACGUAUCUCUGGACUUCUAAAAUCUCCUGAUUCAAAAGAAAUCAAAGUGAUGCCAAAAGGACCGCUGUGUGCAGAGAUGUGAUCGUCCAAACCUUUAUGGAUUUUAACUGAGGAAAUACUGAAUAUGGCCUGAGGUGAUAGACAAGCUAGACAUUGAGGAUGCACCAUUACAAAGCUUAGAUCUAAGGUUCAGAGAAAAUAAAUCUGUAGCAGGAUGGCUAAGCUAGAAUGUUGCCCAUUCUGUAAUAUUCACAACAUAUUUCAGUCUUUCCACUAGUGAAAAAUACCUACUUGCAUUGGAACUUUGUUUUGUGCAUUAAAAAAUAUAGUCACCAGAUUCUCAAAAUUACCCAGCUAUGUUAAUGUCAAAUACAUGAGAGAAAGGGCUUGCCCGUAAUUUACAUAAAAAUACAAAACUUCAGUCCAUAAUCAGUACCUCUGAACAAAGUUAUUCACAUCAGCCAUUGUCAUUCAAGAUGAUACUGCAAUAAAGAUUCAGAGAGAAAUCUUUGAAUGCUACCCUGAAUUAUUCUAUUCAAGGAAGAAUUUUGCGUGAAUAUAGAAGUUACCUCCAUAACUAACUGCAUGCUGAAAAUUAACUUAAUAGUACUGAACACAGAUCUUCAAGAAAGACUUCAUUGGUCACAAGGGUUAUCUGCCAUGCUGCCUAUUAGGAGCGUGAAGGUGAAGGUCCUAGCCUAUAAGGCCCUCAUCUCUGUGAUGCUUAAUCACUGCACAUUCCAGCUCACAGCCUUAAAAACCCUGGCGGCAGAGAACUUGGCAUGCAUCAUGCAGUUUGUCCUCAGUGAGGAAACAGUUAACUCCUUCACAAGCUAUUAUACUAUAGAGCAGACAUGUUCUACUGAAAAGACAAGUACAAAAAUACAGUUAAACAGGAGGAAUAAGUUCUAGUAUUCAGUAGUACAGUAGGGCAAUUACAGUUAGCAACAAUUUAUUGUAUAUUUCCAAAUAGCUAGAAGAAAAAAAUUAUAUUUCCCAACACAAAGAAAAAUGUUUGAGCUGAUGAAUAUCCAAGUUAUCCAGAUUUGAUCAUAACACAUUAAAUAUAUGUAUCAAAAUAUCUCAUGUACCCAAAAAUAUGCGCAACUAUUAUCUAUUAAUUUAAAAAAGUAGUACAAAAAUAAAUACAUACAUUUUUAAAACUAUUUAAAUAAUUGUAUAGAGAACCAGCAAAUGAAGAUUGUUACAACUGACCACAUCCCAAAGGAGAAGGUAGGCUAAAUCCAUUUUCAUGAUUUCAGAGUUUGGGAUACCAUCUUGAGUCAUUGAGAUUGCUCUUCUGACUGGGUCUCUUUAUAUGUAGGUGAUACUGAUUGACAUUCUACUUCAUCCAUGCUGGUUGACUAUUCCCAGACAAAUGAACAUGAAACGUUCAAGUGUGUUUACAUUUGCAUCCAGGGAAAGUCAUCCUUGAAAUAAAAGAAGAGCUGGACGAUCGGAUUAUUUUUUUCAGUUUCUGUAAUAGUUCAUUGGGUGUAUUUACUCAUUAAUGAAUUAAUUUAAAAUGUUUCUUGAUUACCGUCUUUUGCCAGGAAUUAUUCUGGGUCUCAGAUUAAAAAAAUAAUAAUAAUAAUGAAGAAAAGCCCUGCUCCUGUUGACCUUACAUUCUAGUAGAGAAGAGAACUGGACAAGUAAACAAAUAAGCUAAUUUUACAUAGUUGUAAGUGCUAUGGAAGAAAUGAGCAGGAUGGUAUUGUGGAGGAUAAUCAGAAGAAGAAUACUUUAGAUAGAUGGUCAAAAAACUGCUCUCUAAAAACAUUGCAAAAUUUCAGUGAUUCGGGCCAGCAGCUUUGUCAUCUAAUAAGCAUCUAAUUGUUGUGGCCAAUUCUGGAAAUUAAUAUUUCUCUCAAGGUCCAGUGUUGAAGAUGCCCACAAUCCACUGAUCCUUAUUUUUAUAUACAAACCAGAUAACUCUCACCAAACAAAUAAACAACAUUGUUCAAAUUUGGACUUUGGCAGAUAUGUGGUAAAUAUUCAUUUGGAGACUAGCUGAAGACUAAUCAACAACUAUACUUACUGAGUCAUCUAACCAGAUACUGUAUGGAAGAUGAAAUGCACACCAGAAAAAUUAAAUACUAUAGAUUCUGCCUUUGAGGAAUUUUUCAUAUAUUAGGAAGCAUAUCAUCUAUUGCUUGGAAUAUUUCUACAGCACAUAGGCUAUUCAGAAUAGAGCUUUACAUUUUACAAUACAAUGCUCACUACAAUAUUAUGAAGUCAGUGGUACAUCCUUAUUUUACAUAGAAGAAAAAUGAGGUUUUAA